rnacentral:tRNA from 1 species
GCCCCUGUAGCUCAGUCAGGAAAGAGCGGCGGCGUCCUAAGUCGCGCGUCGGGGGUUCGAAUCCCUCCAGGGGUACCA